CACGACAAGCUACCGAAAAUCUUACACUCUCUCGCACACACACAUUUCACUUGAGCCGCACUUGUGGGGGAUUGCUUGUGUGUACCCACUCUUUUCGCAGACGGAGGAUGCUUUGCUUUUGAAGGUAUGUUGGCAACAGCUGGAGAUCAAGGGAACCUUUGAGUCUAUUAGAAAUUUCCGAUUAGUCUCAUAUUUGCAUAAUUUUCCACAGACUUGAAGCAUUUUUUCGAUUUACGCAAAUAUAAUCAGCUGGGACUGGGACGGGACUUGCUAUUCGUAUAUCAUAUCUAUACCUUUCUGCUAUUUAAUCGUAAAAAUAGCAGCAGAAGCUCACAUCUUCUAGGGUAUCAAUAGCUUCGGUCCCUCGGCGCCUAACUGCCACUCUGGUUGGCACUUGUGUUGAAUGUUCGGAGCUGUGUUUGUUGCUGGGCUUUUUUUUUCGGUUGUUAACUGAAGUUUCUCAUGCAAAUCCACGCAAAGUCAGUCGCUUGUUUGUUUGUUUAUUUAUUUACCAUUAUUUAUUUGUUUGCCCAACGCUUUUUCCCCCUUUUGAGGUUCAAGUAAUCAUGAUCACGGCGAUCAUCAUCAUCAUUAUCAUCGUACCGUAACAUGGCAUCCAGCAUCCAGCAUCCAGCCACCAAUGGAUGCUGCUUCUCCCAGUAAAAGUCAUUCCACAGUCAAGUGUCGAAUACCUCCAGCUGUGGCUCUUCCACUUCCACAUCCAAAUCCACUUCCUCCUCUGAUUCUCUACUGUUUCUCUUCUGUGGAUUGUGUGUGUGUGUUGUUUUUUUGUGUAGCCCCCAGCCACUACUCUCCUGUGAAGAUCUCAACACUCUCUCAAAACUCUGGAGUGCUUCAUGUCCGCGGGUUGUAAUUAAAAUGUUCAAUAAAUCGUCAAACUUGA